AGCCCAGAGGGAGGAAACAGAGCCAUGCCCAGCCGAGCUGCCCCACCACAGGCACCUGGAGAUGGGGUUUCUCCUCCCUUUUAAAGAAGGGCAGAAUUGAAGCACAAACCCAGAUCAAUUCAUUUCAUCCUUAAAAUCACAGUCCAGGGGGAUGAGUAAGUAUUUCCUACAUGUUCAUGUGAUUUAAAUGUCCCAUCUUGUUUCUGUUAGCAAUCAUCAGAUGCCAGUAGGAGAGCAACAGGAGAACCAGUUUUGGGGAGGAUUUUGCUCUGCAAUCCCUCACCCAGAAGUGAGCAGGUCAGGAUCGGGUCCUUGGGCAACGCUGCCAGAAGCGCUGGGAGGGGAGCGAGGAUCUCUUGUGCUUUCAGGCUUGUGGCCUGCAUUCAGAAAAAAUGUGAAACAUCAAGAUAGAGCUGACAGGACCCUGCCCUUGGCGUGAGGGGCUGAAUGACACUCCCUGAAGCUCUGUGCAUAGGACGCAGGAGCCUGGCGUGCUCUGGAUGCCACCCCCUCCCUAGGCCAUGAUAAGAAAUGUUUCUCCUUUAACCAUCUGUGUGUUUUAUCUCCAGUUCAGAACAUCUUUCCUGGCAUGAGUGUUGCAACUCUUCUCCAUUGCCUCCCGGGACAGGGCUCCCUUCGCUGCCGGGAUGGCUGGGGCAUGGUGCAAAGCCAGAGUUGCCUGGACACUGGUUACAAUUCAUUUAAAGCCACCUUUCUUAAUGGUGCAGAGCAGGGGAAUUGGUCUCUCCUGGAUACCAACAGGCAUGCAGUAAAGCCCCAGGGACAAGCCAGUAGCAGCUGUGAGGUGGAAAGUGUCCAGUGGAGGGUGGCAGGAGUCUCCCUUGGAUGGCAGGAAAGGGCCAGUAAGGGAAGGUCCAGGAGGAACAAGGGUCCUCGUGUGAGCAAGCAGAGAGAGGAAGGGGUGGGUGAGAGGAGAGGUGUAGAUUUGUUUUGGGGGAAAAGGCUGUGCACGAGGAUGGCUUCCAACAGGAUGACAUAGUCCCUUUCAGGGGUAGGCGUCGCCCCCAUCAAGGCAGUGACUGCAGGUUGAGGGCGUGGGACAUCCAUCAGAGGAGAGGCAGGAGACCUGAGUACCGAAGCUGCAGGGAGGAGUGUGAUGUCCCCAGGGCCUGUGAGCACCCGCCCAGCAGCGCUCCAUCAGCACCCCAGGGCAGGAUGGACAAGCUGAGGCGAGUGCUAAGGAAGUCGGCCAAGGUGCUCUCCAUGGGAGAAGAGAGCAGCAGUGAGCCUGGGCAGGAGGAUUGGGGCCCCACCUGCCGUGACGAGGAAGGGCCUAUCAAGGCAAGAAAGUGGCUGUGCCCCAUCUGCUGC